UACAGAGACUGCAAGCGUUAUUCGGAUUCACUGGGCGUAAAGGGUGCGCAGGCGGCCAAGUGUGUGAGGCGUGAAAGCCCGAUGCUUAACAUCGGAAUUGCACCUCAAACUACAUGGCUAGAGCAUUGGAGAGGGUAGCGGAAUUCACGGUGUAGCAGUGAAAUGCGUAGAUAUCGUGAGGAACACCAGAGGCGAAGGCGGUUACCUGGACAAUUGCUGACGCUCAGGCACGAAAGCGUGGGGAGCCAAAGGG
rnacentral:rRNA from 1 species